ACGGAAGGCAGCAGUGAGGAAUAUUGGUCAAUGGACGGAAGUCUGAACCAGCCAUGCCGCGUGAAGGAAUAAGGCCCUAUGGGUCGUAAACUUCUUUUGACGGGGAGCAAUAAGAUCUACGUGUAGGUCGAUGAGAGUACUCGUCGAAUAAGCAUCGGCUAACUCCGUGCCAGCAGCCGCGGUAAUACGGAGGAUGCAAGCGUUAUCCGGAUUUAUUGGGUUUAAAGGGUGCGUAGGCUGUGCUGCAAGUCAGAGGUGAAAGCCCUGAGCUCAACUCAGGAACUGCCUUUGAUACUGCAGUGCUGGAAUACUGUUGCCGUGGGAGGAAUGAGUAGUGUAGCGGUGAAAUGCAUAGAUAUUACUCAGAACACCGAUUGCGAAGGCAUCUCACGAAGCAGUCAUUGACGCUGAGGCACGAAAGCGUGGGGAUCAAACAGGAUUAGAUACCCUGGUA
rnacentral:rRNA from 1 species